GACGAACGCUGGCGGCGUGCCUAAUACAUGCAAGUCGAACGCUGAAGGAGGAGCUUGCUUCUCUGGAUGAGUUGCGAACGGGUGAGUAACGCGUAGGUAACCUGCCUGGUAGCGGGGGAUAACUAUUGGAAACGAUAGCUAAUACCGCAUAAUAGUAGAUGUUGCAUGACAUUUGCUUAAAAGGUGCAAUUGCAUCACUACCAGAUGGACCUGCGUUGUAUUAGCUAGUUGGUGGGGUAACGGCUCACCAAGGCGACGAUACAUAGCCGACCUGAGAGGGGGAUCGGCCACACUGGGACUGAGACACGGCCCAGACUCCUACGGGAGGCAGCAGUAGGGAAUCUUCGGCAAUGGACGGAAGUCUGACCGAGCAACGCCGCGUGAGGGAAGAAGGUUUUCGGAUCGUAAAGCUCUGUUGUAAGAGAAGAACGAGUGUGAGAGUGGAAAGUUCACACUGUGACGGUAUCUUACCAGAAAGGGACGGCUAACUACGUG
rnacentral:rRNA from 1 species